rnacentral:rRNA from 1 species
UACGGAGGGUGCGGAGCGUUGUCCGGAAUCACUGGGCGUAAAGGGCGCGUAGGCGGCUCGGUAAGCGUGUGGUGAAAGCCUGGGCUCAACCCGGGUCGGCCAUGCGAACUGUCGAGCUGGAGCACUGGUAGAGGCAGGCGGAAUUCCGGGUGUAGCGGUGGAAUGCGUAGAGAUCCGGAAGAACACCGGUGGCGAAGGCGGCCUGC